rnacentral:misc_RNA from 1 species
GAUCGUAACAGCUUCGACAAACUCUGCUGGCUGGCUUGAAGUGCCUUCACUUGAAUGGAUGCUUGGGUGGGAGCGAAGCAACAAGCAAUCGCCCUUUCAUUCAACUUUCUUGCUUCGAGUUCCGACUUUAGCGAUGUCAACAUAGACACGUCGGAACUCGGAACUAAGCGACCGUUUGUGUUUUGCCGUUACUCACCUGCUUACUCUCUACUGUCUCGCCGCCAACUUAGGCCUACACAGGCCAACACUGACUGACCUCCUGGGUGGCUGCACAAAUACCACUCAGGCUUUCAAGACCCUCAACCUCACCAGGACCUUCCUACAGAAAACAAAUCAACUGCACCGCAUAUAUUCUGAACGCCUCACCACCGCAUACUGCACCUUUGGGGCACUAGAGGCUGUGACACAGCCUGCACGGCCCCAACAAACCCUCAAGAAGAAGGAAGGAACUCGGAACUGACACCGACGAAAUUGUAUGAUUGAUUUCAGCAAAAAACAGAAAGACUGUCAGUCCCACAGAAAUGGCAGUGGCAGUGGACUCAGCCAGAUGGCUCAUGAGAGAUGCAUUGUUGAAACUCAAGAGAGUAGAAGAAGCACUGUCUUUGGUGGGUAUCUUUUACCUUGGGAAGAUCUCUGCAGCAGCAGCAUGGGAUCUCUUGAUUGGUGUGAGAACUCAUCUGUGGCCCAAGUUGUUCAAAAGAAAUCUAACAAAGGAGUAUGGGACAUGGGCAGUGAUCACCGGUGCUGAAGAUGGAAUGGGAAGAGGUUAUGGUGAUGUGCUAGCAGGAAUGGGCAUGAAUAUCCUCCUGGUAUCAGUAACAUAUGCAGAUUUGGAGGACUUCGCUCAUGAAAUCAUCAAUAACAUAACAGGGAUGAAUUCUGACACAGCCAUAAUCUGUGGAGCAGCACGUACAGACCUAUGGCGACCAUUGGGUGUGGGUGUUGCUUAUGUGCCAGCCAUCACAAGCUUGGUGCUGCCAGCAAUGAUGGGAAGACACAAAGGUGCUGUGGUUAAUGUAUGCUCCCCCACGGCAAAUUUAAGUCUGUCAAGGUUUCAUGUCUACACAACAGCAAAGGCUUUCCUUACCAGUUAUUCUGAAGUUCUACGCCACUCACUCCAGCCCCAUGGCAUAGUAGUACAAACUGUGCUGCCUGCUGAGAUCCCUCAUAAAGUGACUCAUUAUACUGGGAUGUCAGUCCUCCAUGGUGCCUUCAAAUUUGUUACUCCCCAUCACUCUGUAUUUGCGGCACAUGCUCUUUCAACCUUAGGGUAUGCCCAUAUCACAUCUGGAUACUGGCUGUAUGGUGCUUUGGCCUGGAUAAUGGAGUGCUCACCCUGGUGGCUGGCAGCAAGCAUCAUUAUUACCAGAUUAUCUGUAUGAAAUUUACUUAUCAAUGAUAUGCAGCUAGAGACCACACCCUGAAGAGAGACAACAGUUUGACUGAGACAGCUGCACAGGAUCCUACUCCAAGAGAUCUAAACAAAGAAGAGGAAAACAACAGAAGACAACAGGAGUUCCCAAUGCCUGAACGAACUACUACUCCUCCAAAGAUUGCCACAUUGUGAAGACCUUAAGGCAUCAAAGACAGUAGUAUGCCUGUAGGUCUUCAGUUGCCUGCUGAAAGAGUUGAGGCAUUCCACCAGGGUUAGCAAACCCUGUGAUAGGUUUGUUUAUUAUUGCUGAGCUUAUUUAUUUAUUUAUUUUUUUUUUUUUUUUCUUCCAUGGGGUGAAAUGUGGUGUUUAUACAACUCAUUAAACUCGGUUAUUAUCUGCAUAUUGGUUCAGUGGUUUAGUUGUUGUUUCACUGUAUUUGUUCAAUAUUGUGUGUAAGCUUCAUGAAGCUUUAUGGAAGUUUUCUUCUUAGUGCUGGACCUACACUUGAGACAGGUAACUCUAGCUGCUCCACCUGUACAUAGCUUUGGUUUAUUACUAAGUAAAGCCUUGAAAAGAGGAAGAGUAUACUUUUUCCUUUAAUGUAUAUCACAUUAAUUACAUGGGACUGUUAGCUCUUAGCUAUUAGCUGGAGCUAAUUGUUACUACCAGCUUUCUUGAAAAACUUCUGUAUGUUGUAACAUUAAGGAUGGUAUGUUAAGGAGAGUCAAGGUGGAUAGGGUGCGCAUUGAAUGAGUCUGUAGGCUUAAGAAGAACUGUCAUACCAAGUAAUUAAAAUGAGAGGGGGAACUUUAUGAGAAGUGAUUUUGGAGUUCAGUGCAUGGUAGUAAUAUUAAUGUUAGCAUUAAGUGUACUACGUACAUGUAUAAGGCAGAAUACAGUAGGGAAGGAAAGUACAUAGUAAUGUGUGAAUUGGUACUUGGGGUAGUGGAUCUGAGUAGGGUUUGGGGAAGGACGCGACCUGGGAGUGAAGGAAUGGCACUCUCUCCUCGGAUCUUGGUGGGAUGUGGACGCAUGACAGCAAGCAAGGGUGAUGCUGGUGGAUAGAGGUGACCACUCCUCUCAGAUCAGGUGGGUAGUGUGUUUUUAUGGGAGAUUUGUGGAAGGUAUAUUCAUUGAGUGGAGGCUGUUAUAAUGUAGAGUUGAGUGGUGGAUUUAAGUGGGGAGAGAGUGUUAAGGGUGUUUCUCGUGUCUCUGUUGUUUGUUCAGUCCCGCUUCAAUUUCAUUGUCUUCAUUCUAAUGUAAUUUACUAUAGUUGAAAUAUAUGUAAAAUUGAUUUGGAA